ensembl:lncRNA
UUACUGUCUUGUAUUAGCUCAUUCACGAUGACAAGAAUAUGACCACAUAGCUCACUCUUAUUUUAAAAUAUAUUUACUCUGUUCCUAAGCUCUCCGUUAUAGUUGAAAUCUCUCUAAUAUAUUAUUAUGGCUCCAAUUAGCAACCAGCAACACAGCUUGUGUUGAUCGAAUGUGUCAUCUGUUGUGUGAUGUCACAUCAUCGCCAACGCCUUGGUUGCAUUGCACGUCUGCGUUGCAGCCAGAUGGUGACCACUGGUUCUGAAAAGUGAAGCUAAUGCAGAUGUGUCUUCACAUGCAUACUCCUUAGUGGUUGGCAGAAGUCGACUCUACUGGAUUCCACACCAUGUCUGAUUCUAUAGAAUCCUAUAAGAAAAUAUCCUUGAUGUAUUACCCUCAGUAAGCAUUGAAAAUAUGAAUUUAUGGUAUCAAUCUUUAGUUUCAAGUCUUCUCCAAUACAGCAUGAUGUUCAUUUAGUUGGAAAAUAGAACAAGCAGCGAAGCAGGGUUUAGGGUAGGGGGGGUUCCUUGGUGCAUGACAGGUCGCUACCACCACCAGAGCCGUCUUUAUGUCCGACCGGCACUGGGCUCAGCUCACAGCUAACAUACAUUUUACUUUAUGUAAAUACUGAAAAUGAAAACAAAGUAACAUAACAAGGCAACCUAACAAUGUUGAGAAUGCAACGCUGUCAAGAGUUCAACGCCGUCAAGAAGAAGAACGCUGUUGGAGCGCAAUUACUAAUGGAAACAUAUCAAAUAGGAUUAGAAAAUAUCAGCAAGGUUUAGUUGUGUUUGUUUUCUGGUGUAAUAUUGAAACCUUUUUAUUACACCGUUUAAGACCAAAUGCCGGUUAUAGUGUUAAUACACUCGUCCCUAUCAAGUCCCUCUUGGCCCAACCUGUUAAACCUGAAGAAACACCUGCUCUGUUCAUGCGUUACAUGUCAUUUAGCUGACGCUUUUAAGCAAAGCGACUUACUAUAAGUACAUUUCAGCCAUAAAGAUACAAACCCAGAAGUACAAGAAACAUAAAAGUGCAAUUUCAUCAAAUAAGCCGAUUAGAACUUGCUAAUAGAUAACAGCCAUAAUAAGUACAACUAAUGUGCAACAAUUUAUUUUUUUACUAUGUCUGAAGAGGUGUGCCUUUAGUUUGCGGCAAAGAAUGUAAAGACUCUGCAAGCCGAGGCUGACAUAAGGACUGACACCCAAAACAGCGCGGGAGUUUCUGCUAGUGUGAAGGUGUUUGUUCACUACCCUCCUCUGGAAAUAAAAGUCUACCUCCACAACAAGUAAAGAUUCAAGACGACAGAGAGGCGACUCUGAAAGAAAAGGGUAGGAACGCUACUCCUCUUUUCUCUGCUCCUAAUGGCCGUCUCUCACUUCCUUUCCAAGUUGCUUUCACGAGGCAGAUGGAAUUUCGUUUCUUCUGAUUGAAAAACGAUGGAGUUUUGAAAGCAGGAUGGACAAUAAACGCAGCCCAGUUGUUGCAAGAAACAAAUGCUGACAGAUUCACCAAAUUAGCAGAAGCUGCCAUUUCUGAAACAAACCAAACAACAUUGUAACGCCGCACCGUUUUCUGAUUAGGGGCAGCUUUACAUGAGUGGUUUGAGAAAAGGGGGAACUGGUAGAGAGACAGGAGACGGGGUUUUGAGAAUGUGAGAAACUUCAAGGCAGUAGAACAUGUGAGACUCGGGAUGUUGUUACUGUGAGAAAUGCUUGUAUUGUCGAGCACUGUGAGCGUGUGAGUUUACACAAGACGUGGUUCAUGACAUAACGUGUGUCCAGCCAUUACCAUGACAGACAGACAUUAACACACGCUUUGUCUUCCCAGUUCGGAUAAAUCCAUCUGAAAGCCAAAACAGUCCACCGGCCAAUUGUCCAAAAAAACAAAGACAAAGAAAACAGAUAAAGAAAACAAACAAAGAAGCGUCGAUCAUCAUGGAAAGAGGGAGGAGUGACGAGAACCAUGGGGCCCCGAUACAGACUCUCAAACAGAAGGGGAAGAAGAAGAGCAAAUGUUGCAUGUCGUGCUUGAAGUCUCUAUGGGAUGUGGUCCAGGAGGAGGUCCAAGAGGAGGUCCAAGAGGAGGCCCAGGAGGAGGCCCAGGAGGAGAAACGGGAGGAGGUCCAAGAGGAGGCCCAGGAGGAGAUUGAAGAGGAGGCCCAGGAGGAGGUCCAGGAGGAGGCCCAGGAGGAGGCCCAAGAGGAGGCCCAGGAGGAGGCCCAGGAGGAGGUUGAAUCCUGAGCCUUGGGCUUAUGUGAAGCUUUAAUCGGUCUUUGUUCCAAAGGGUGAAUCCCUUUUUGUAAGUAUGAAAAAAGUAAAAAAUAUAUGUUAAAACGAUUUCCUACUUGGAUGAGUUGGAAUUCAUGCAAAUACAAAAAUGUAACCUCAAAAUGUAAAAUGGUCGACGUGGGUUAUUUUGCGUCUUUCUAUCUUUGCAAAUACACUGCAGUUAAAAUUCCACCAAAGUGGAAAAAUAUAAAAAAUGUUAUUAUUUGUAAUAUUUCAUUUCUCAUUUUAAUUGCAGAACCUGACCUUGAACAUCUGGACCAGUUUUUCCAGGCUGCGUUGAAUCUCAGUGUCCGCCAGCAGCUUUAGUGUGAUUUAUGCCAUUUGGAGAUGAAAAUAUUCACUUUCAGUCAGUUUCAUCAGCUAAUAAACUUGCUUUAUACCUCAAUGCAGGAGUUGUUAUUCACACAAUUCACUAUCUAUGUAUAAAAAAACUAAAGAGAUCCUUUUCAUGAACAAAUUGAUUGUGAUUGUGUGAUCAAUAUUGAUUGUGUAUUGAUUAAUAAACUUUUCUUCUAUUGUUACCCUGGAAACCGCAUGCAUCGCAGACGGAUUUCUAGCAUACAAACUGUUGAGUUGAGUUGCAGACCGAGCCCCUCUCUGGCUGGGAGGUAGGUUUAGGUGAGUCUCUCAGGCUGGAGGCGGAGAUUUUAAUGCACCAGGUGGAGAGGAUCUGGCGAUCAGGGGGGUUGGAGUCACUCACUCACAGGACAGUGAAGAGCGAGCAGUGUGAGAAAGCGAGAUUGAAGAGCUUGGGAAGAGGAGACUGCAGGAAUAAAGCUUGCAAAGGCUGAAGAAGGAGCCGGUUUUUCACCUGGUUUGACCUGGACAAUCUUAAAAAUAAAAAGCAAGAAAGCAAAGAAGUCCGAAUCUUGGUCAUUGAGUGGAAUCCACUCUACACUUCUUAGCAAGCUGCCCUUUCAAGUGGGGGGCUGCAGUUUGACUCUCACAAAAGUGAGACACUUGACAGUGAAAAACCGCCACUGGUGCGAAGACUGGAGCGAAGUAUCCUGAACUGCAACUGGCCAGGCCUGGAAGUCCAGAGGCCUAGUAACACUGAAGAUCACCCCGCCCACACCGAAUCCUGGUGAAAAGGAAGAUGGCUGACUCAAAGUCACUGGAGCAGCUUAAAGCUAGUAGGACGUCUGCAAAGCGACAAUUCUCCCGGCUGUCCAACAACAUUGUCCGGAUGCACGCCAUAAUGGCUGAAGAGGAGCUCAGAGACCAUUUCAAAAGGCUCAUAACUGAGGCCAACAAAGUCAUGGAAGCAAAUGACGAUGUGGAGGCCCAGUACCUUGCAGAAGUGGAGCUGGACGCAGAUCCUGAUGAAGUUCCCGGGUUGAGCAAGCAGCAAAAGGCCGAUAUUGGGAAAACUGCAAGCGAGUGUGAGAUGAAAUUGGAAGAGCUGAAGGACCUCAUUCGAAAGACACUCUGGGCUAAUUUCGGGGAGGAGGAACUGAUGAUGGCGCUACAGGCUGCAGAGGAGAGAGUAAAGAGUGUGAUUUCCUUUGAACCUGGUGGAAAUAAAGAGGCCUUUGACUUCAUGUUCGACUACAUGGAAGGACUGGUUAAGAGGGCGAAGGAGCUGUACACACAGUGGAAGGGUUGGGCCCCUCCUGCCGAGCAGAAAGACUUCCAGCUGCGUGUACGAGAGCUCGAGCAGAUCGUUCCCAAGUUAAUGUCCAAAAAGGCAGAGUUCAUUAAAGCAAAAGCUAAAGAAGACGCCGAAAGAGUUGUGAGUGCAGCUUCUAUCAGCUACCCGACAUCAAUAUCAGCCAUCAGACUGAAGCCAACCUCCCUCCCCAAGUUCACUGGCAUCAGGCGAGACUUUCAUCGCUGGAGAGGAGACUGGGAGGCCCUUCAGAGGCAAGGAGAACCUACUGGGUCAAAAGAAGUAAAAAAGUUCCAGCUUCUUGACAGUUUGGAUGACAAGAUAAUGAGAGAUCUUCGAUUGAUGUCCUAUAACACAGCAGAUGACAUUCUUCGGGUCCUGGAGAACCGGUUUGGAAACCAAACGGCGAUUGCCAUCGAAAUAGUUG